GUUUUUUUUUCUUUAGUAAUCAGAAAAAACUGAGUAUUUGAAUAAAUAUCAAACUGCUAUGCUUUUUCCAAUUGAAUUUCUUCGUUAUUUUGAAUUGAACUUAUUUGUUUUAUUCUUUAGUAACCAGAAAAAUCCGAGUUUUCAAAUAUAAUAUCAAACUACUACUUUUUUUUGAACUUCUUGUCCCAUUUUUUAAUAAUGAGGAAAUCUGAAUUUUGUAUAACCAUCGACCUCAUCCUCUUUUUUAUUUUGGACUUCUUAGUUUUAUUUCUUUUAGUGAUGGAAAAAAUCCUAGUUUUUAAAUAAACAUCGAGCCACUCUGUUUUUUUAAUUUGAAAUUCAAGGUUUUUUGUGGAAAUGAAAAAAAUCUAUUUUUGAUUAAUAGUGAACUUGUGUAUUUUUAAAUUUUGGACUUUCUUGGUAUUUCAAUUUGAACUUCUUAGUUUUUAGUUUUUUAGAAACAAUUUUUUUAAUAAACUUCGAAUCACGUCGUCGUUUCAAUUUGAACUUCUUGUUUGAUUUUUUUAAUUGAGGGGUGGGGUUGGUUAUUUUGUUUUUGUAAAGUUGUGUUGUUUUUUUUGUAAACUUUUCAAUUGUUUAUUUUUGUUAAAGUCGUUUUUGCUUUUUUAUAUAUUAACUUCCAAGAGUUGAUUUUGUUGCUUUUUCCAAAAAAAAUCGCAUCAAGGAUAUAUAAGAAUAGUUUUUUGCAUGCACAUAUGAUCGUUCUGUAGAUAAUAUACAUGAAGGAUGCGAUGUGUGAAAUUUUACCAAAAUUGAACGAGCAUAUGAAGUCGUUGGUGUACGCCCCAAGCCCUCUAUGGAACAAUGCAAAAUUUUGCAAUGUUUUUUUUUGCUAGGGAAGCAAGCAAUAGUCGUAGUAUUGAAGUAUAAGCUUCUCCCAUAUUAGUGUUUGUUCCAAAAUGAACAUUUUGAACAACGCACAACACGCAUUAUGAACUUCUCCUCAACCAUCUUUUUGUUCAUUUUUUAUUUUUGUUUUUACAGUACACAAACGGUGUCCCAACUCAUAUAUUUUUUCAAGUGACAAAUUGUUAUUUUUGGAAAGAACCACAUUGAGCUAUGAAUAUGUCUGAUCGAAAAUUCAGGUUUGGGAAGCAAGUUGUGUGUGUUGGGCAACAAGGGAUACAUAAUUCUGAACCGAAAGUGUUUGUUUUGCUUCAGGCAAUAUUUCUUUCAGAUUUAGUAUAAAGAUUCAGUAAGGAUUCAUGGAAUUAGCAAUAUUAAAGCAAGAAUACCCAACAUCGCUUGUGUAGAUUCAGCCAACGAAAACCAUACAUGUGGGACUUGAACUACCGUAGAUGAAUGACAAUAGUAGAACAUAUUUAAAUUCUUGGCAUGGAAGGUCAACUUUGUUCUGCUCUCCAGAGCGUGACGCUAGCCAACACACGUCCAGCAAGCCCAUAAGCACACAUGUCUAGUAUCCAGCAACAGCAAGGAAUGCAAACCACCGCGAAGAAAAGUGCAUAGCUGUAGUAGGACUUUGGCGUAUAGUUGUUGUAGAACUUCAUGCAACGUCUAUGAACAUCCGAAUGGUUGUAAAGGGGAAAAUGAGAAAUUUUCCUGUAAAUUAGACACACACAUGCACACCCCUGCAGUUUUAUCAAGAUUGUUAAAUCCAGUUAGCACAUUUUCACAUGAGCAACACAUCCACAUGUAGGAGCACGUCUGAUGUACCUGAGAACUCAUAUAUAUGCACCUACAGGAAGAGCAUCAAGUCUCAUAUACGGUUAAACAUUUUUUCUAUAUUCUUUGGUGCACCUGAACCUUUGCAACAUUUUUACAUAAACUUCUUGUUUUAUGGGAGAGAGAGCACUUAGCCGGAGAGGGUUCACCGUUUCUAAUGCCAGAAGAGGUCAUCGGUAGGGGAGGCAGUGUAGAAAAAAUCUUUGUGGUGUCCCGCAGCCGGUGUAGAGCCGAGUAGCACGCAGCCGGUGUCCUGCGAAGGAUCUACACGAGCGAGCAGGCGAGGAGGCACUGCACGCGGAGACGAGGUUGGACUACACGACGGUCGGUAUUGGACGGUGCAUGGGCCGCCUCGGCGCUCGAAGCUGCACUAGACAAAGCCCAGGAGGACGAGCGUCAUGCAGGACUGGUGCAACAACGUGGAUUGGGGCCGACAGGACGCUGGUGGCUGGCGGUGGAGACCAGGAGGCCGGACAAGAUGGCGUUGAGCCACUGGCGGCGUUAGUGCGGAGAAGACAUAGUGUUGCGAAGCAGAGGCCACUGUAGGGAGUGUGGACAGGGGAUUGGGAGAGUGGGGCUCACCGGCCCUAGGCGGAUCCGCGCGCGUCGAUGGUCGUGGUUACCGGAUCCUCGCCGGCGCCACACGAAGGUAGCGGUGGUUACCGGAUCCUCGGUGGCGGCUUGCGGGGCAGGCGGUGGUGGCUGGAUCCGAGGUGGUGGCGAGUUGGAUAGCUGGCGACGGCGUCUCUUGUUGGGGACAGGGCGGCGACGACGGAAGCGGUCGGUGGCGGGGCGGCGGCGGCGACGGUCGGUGGCGGGGUGGUGUUGGCGACGGGCGGUGGCGGGGCCACGAGGGCGUCUCCGGUUAGGGGCGGGAUGGUGGCGCCUCGCCAGUUGGGGGUGGGUGCCUGGGUGGUGCAGGGGAUCGGGGAUCGGGGAUGGGGUGGUAGUUUUAGAAUCGGCCUUUUCUUUUUGUUUCAGCGAUUUUCGGAGGAACCCUGCCGGGCCUUUAUAGGAAGUUGUGAUUCAAAUAACUAUUCUAAUCAUAGGAUUAGAAUAGUGCUAUUAUAUAUAUAUAUAUAUAUAUAUAUAUAUAUAUAUAUAUAUAUAUAACUAUGCAUACUGUUCCGAAGUUCAAUGUUCAGUUUACAAGCAGUGCACCAAAUGUUUAUGCAUCAGUUAUAGGAAAAAAGAUUAAAAAACCUAUGCAUAACAGAUGCAUCAGUGCUGAACAUGUCCAUUCACCAGUUCGACUGAAACUAUAUCAGAUACAAAAUAGACAACAAAGUUUAAUAACGCCUAGCGAUGCAAGUUCAACUUGUACAUUACCUUCAGUGCAUGACAUGUUACCCAUAUCAUGUAUAUGAGAAAAUGCAGAAAAGAUUAAUCCCAAAACUAUUGAAUGUCAUUCCAGAAACAUGCAAGGUGGCACACGUAGGGAGGGUUUGAUGAGCCAAGAAGAUAUGAGGCACCGUCUGGCUGGGUAACACCAGAAAUAGCACCUGGAUACUUCAACAAUACAUGCAGAUUUCAAGCUACACCAGAAUCAUGAGAAGCACGGACUGGUUCUUCUAUGCAGCAGACACCGAUAUCUAGGAAUACAAGCUUUGCCACUGCUGGGGUGCAACAAGGUCAACAAUGUCCCCAACAACAAAUAUUUUCCUUUCCUAGCGCAAGCAGAAAGGCAAGGACACUCAGGCUUCCACCCGUCACUCCAUCAACAUCAAUCAUCUGUGCUACAAAAGCGGUUGCGACGGGAAGACGAGGCCAAAGAGACAGGAAUGUUUGCCACUCUAGCAGGGUGCAAAGUAGAAGAUAUGAGCCAUAUAGAUAGGAGCAACCUGCUAGUGAAUCUCAGGGAAGACGACCGUACAAUGAGAGACGGAGAGCUUCAUCAACAUUGCUGCAUGUGCCGAGGGUGACACCACCCGCGCCCAUACACCAGGGUGAACAGCAAACACCGGAUGUAGCGCGGAGCUAUGCACAUGUAAGUAUCCAUUCAGAAAAAACAUACAACCACAGUCCAUACCCUAGUACUGUGACCACCCCAUCUAACAUUUUCAUCACUGUGUUUUUGUUUGCUCACUGUUGUGUGCAGCCACCUAACAUUGAAGCUUACGUUCUGCCAAGGCUAGAGAUGCCCUUUGAAACUUUCAAAGAAGCAAAGAACUUCUACAACGUCUAUGCAAAGCACGCGGGUUUUGCUGUCAGAGAAGACUCCAAGGUUAACACCAAGUCUACCUUUAUUGCACGUGCUAUGGAGUCUAUGAAUUGAAGGUGUCAGAAGCAAAUAGAUAGCGGAACAAGACCACAGCCAGGACUAAUUGCGGGGCUAAAAUGAGGCUGAAGAGGGAAAAUGAUGGAACACUUGUCGUAAAAGAGAUAAUCUGGGAACACAACCACAGGCUACAUCUCUCCCCCAAAUGCUUGUCUUCUUGCACUCCCACAAAAACUUUGACAAAACAAUCUUGGAGUACAUCAAGUACCCGUGGUUCAAAGGCACUGAACACGCGUAAAUCAUGAGCAUACUGCGCGGUGAUGACCCCGGUAGCUACUUCCCCGAAAUGAAUGCCAAAGACCUGAUUAACAUGUAAGUACAAACUUGUUCUCCUCCCAUAAACCCCCUCCAUCUUUUUUCCUCUGUCAGUACAAACAUAUUACGCAACACAUGACCUAAUGCCAGUUCAACAUGCAUUUUUGAAUGACUGUUCACUUUUAAUAUGCAAGAAAGCAAAGAAUUCAAGGAUGGAUGAUGUGGACGAUGUCCUAAACACUGUCAACUUAUUUAGGGAGAUGAAAGCGAUAAACAAGGAAUUCUUCUGCGACAUACAACUUGAUGAGUCCGACAGAGUGAAGAACAUAUUCUGGGCGAACGCAGGCUGCCGAGGGGCAUAUCAAGACUUUGGUGACUGCGUAACGUUUGAAACCACAUAUAAGACCAACAAGUACCAUAUGCCACUUGGGGUGUUUGUGGGUACUAACAACCACUUACAGACUAUAUUCUUUGCUUUCGCCCUGAUAAUAGAUGAGGAUGCAGAUUCAUUCACAUGGUUGUUCAAAAGCAUUUUGAAGGUGCAUGAGAGGGAAGGCUCCUUCAUGCAUCCUCACAGGUACAAACGCCACCCCCAAAGGAAAAUAACAUAGUAAAAUUAUUGUGUCGGUUCUAUUUGUAUAUAUGCACUACCAUCCGCUGACCACUCCACGUCUCUUUUCUCAUUACCAGACCAGUGCCCGGCAAUGGCUUUGGCGAUCCCAGAUGCUUUCGGGGACACAGUACAUAAGCUAUGCCGCUGGCACAUUAUGAAGAAGUACAGGGAACACCUCGCAUACCUAUACAACCUCCACGAAGAGUUUAACGAUGAAUUCACAGCAAUCCUCAACUAGCCCCUCAUGCCAACUGAGUUUGAGGCUGCCUGGAAAGCACUCAUAGAUAAGUACAACCUCCAUGAUGAUGCCACAACGGUGGCAAUGUGGAACGAGCACGAGAAAUAGAUAUCAUCUUACUUCAAAGAAAUUUUCUGUGCCAAAAUGACGUCCACACAAAGGAGUGAGAGCAUGAACUAUGUGCUCAAGAAGAACUUCAUAAGUGAGAGACAAAACCUGCACCGGUUCGUCAGCCAAGUAAACUCCUGCGUCAAAACCAGGAGGCAGACAGAGAACUAGGAGACAAUAGGUAACCGGGUAUAGCUCUAUCACCUGUCGUAAGACAAAAUAACGUGCUUACUAAAGUAAAUCUUUCUUAGUUAGACAAGUUUUUGCUGUGAGAAAAUUAAUAAUUUGUUCAUGACUCUUGCUUGCACAGAAGGAACAAAACACGCUGACCUUCUAUGGGUUUGACAAUCAGAUGGCAAAGCUUUACUCAUGAGCUGUGUACAGCGAGAUCAGAAAAAGGCUAAAACUAAGCACCCUCUUCACGGUGACAGAGACGGAAGAGCCCAGAAAGUACCUUGUGCACUACAACAAACCACAAAAACUGUUUGCGUGGUCUCAGCACGCGUUCCAGGUGGUUGCAGACCCCAUGGGAGAAAUAUUUGACUGCAAGUGCAAGCUGUGGGACCACAAAGGCGAGGUCUAAAAAAGAUGUUACAUACUGUAGUACUUAUUUUUGCAAAGUUUUUGUUCGAAUGAAAUGACAGAAAACAUGCACCUCUUUCAAAAAAUAGGUAUUUUCUGCCUGCAUGUCCUAUGCAUGAUGCAUAUAAUUAAGGCUGACCGUGUUCCAGAGAAAUACAUCCUCAGGAGAUACACCAAACACCCGAACAUCCAGCCAACAUUCAACAGAAAUGACUUGAGGACAGUAGCGUCAAACAAGGCCUCCCAAUACGGCAUUGAAAGCGCACCGCUGUAGCUGAACAUGUGGGUGCACAGAAAAAGCUUGAGAAGCCAUGAGAAAAUGGCGAGGUCACAUGUCAUCAUGGAAAGACUUGACCAAGAACUCGACGCCAUGCAUUCUGCUGAAAAUGACAAUGUCGCGGACAACGAAGCCAUUGAGCAGGAUAUUGCUACAAUCUUAUCUGAGAUGAACCAUCUGGGAGCUAUUGACCCAUACGACAACGAGGAAGAGGAGCAACAGCAACCAGAGCUUGCCCAUGUGCACACUCAAGAGCAACAACAUGCUCACGUGCAAGAUCAUGAGCUUGACGGUGCUGUAGGCGAACGACAUGAAAACAGGACAUCCUACCAGCAGCAGCAGGAAAGGGUAAUUAAACCACCCAUAUUCUCAAACACAAGGGGGGGGAUAAUAAGACGCAAGCAGCGAAAGCAGCAAAAGCAGCAGCCAAAAAGCCGCCACGCCCCAUCAGACGCGUGGAAUUCGGCCCGGAUGGCAAACCUCUCGGGAUAAGGGCAUGCGGAUUCGGCAACAUGGUGACCAAUCAUAAUUACCACACAUGCCCAUAGCACACAUAUGCCACUAUCAACAAGCAAAAGCUGUAGAAGUAGAUUGGAGCCGCCCAGGUUUCUACCAAUGGAGACGACUCACGUAACAGCUACACUUGCAACAAGUGUGGGGGGACCGACGGACAUAAUGCCCGCACAUGCAAAGUGGGCAAGGAGGUCAGUGGCGCUGAACAGAAAUAGGGCAAGGUCCAAAGUUCCAAGAAAUCAAAAGAAGAGGAUGAGGAAGAAGAGUUUGACAAGAAUGGCGACCAAUCAGAUGAAGACAAUGAAGAUGACAGUAUUGGGGACGAGGAAAAUGAAACUGACGAUGAAGCUGCCAAGGCUCAAGCAGGAAAGGACGCCAACAAGGGACAACAUUCGGGGCCAGUUAGAAGGAGCUCAAGAUUGAAGAAUCCAUAGUGGUUAUGCUGCUGCAUCAACUCAAAAAUAAGCUUGUACUCUUGGUUGCCUCGGUACACAAUGAGGAAUCAUAUCAGAAACACUGUCGUUACCAAAACUUAUUUAGCUUUAUCAUCGAUUUCUCGAUCAGUACUAUAGUUAAGAUAUAAUUUGUGAUUUGUGCCCGCUGGACCAGUGACAUUAUUACAUAAACCAUUUGAUAAACCUUUUGAAUGCAGUCACAAAUAUAUUUGAAAAAAUUGAUCUGGAUUUAUGUAACGUCAACACUACUAUCGACCAGUAACUCAGCAAAAAUUUGUUAAAGAAAAUUUAAACUCUUAUUGUAGAUCAGUAUUUGAAAACAAUCAGUACAAUUUGAGUUGCUUAACAACGCUUCAAAAGUUGAAGCAAAAAAUCUUAGUACUUCAUGUACUGUUCUCAUCCAUAUGUAGCUGCUAGAAAAUUAACAAGUACUACAACUGAAAAAGUUAAGAAGCAUCAGCACACACUUAUAUUGGUCACUUGCAGACUAAGAAUGAUAGUACUAGUACACUUGAACGGAUAGUACAUAUUUACUACAAUAAAAAGUACAAAGAAGCAUUAGUUCGCAAUCCCUCAAAGAAAUAAAUGUCAGACUAAGCACAUAAGUGCUACUAUGAAUGAACUCUCAGUACAACUUAGUUUACAUGCAAGUACUAUAGUGCUAAAAAUGAUACCAGAAGACCCUUGAGAAUAAUCACAAAAACAAACACAAAAAGAAGGCAAAAACUCAAUGGAAAGAUAACACUUCCACAAAACUCACAAGAACUACAACAAAAAGUAUCAGUCCACAUUACUGGUGGAGUCAAGUAUUAGAUUCAAACCCAAAAAAAAUUAAAAAUUGACAGCCCGAAGACAGGCAAGCCCUGACACAGCUAGAUACUUGAACUCGAGCCCACGACGGAACCGUUGGCGAAUCCCUAGUAAUCGGCACAACACAGGGCCAACCAACCAGGGCACACGGGUCAUGAGAGGGAGCGAGCGUCGUGUAUAAGUGCUCAGGUAAGUAUCCAGAGGAGUUCGACCAGUAAGACUCGACAGCGCUUAUAAACAGGUCGAGAGCCCCCUCGCUUAGCGAGGUGGGACUAAACCCAGAGCACACGCACAUCCAACAGUCCUCAAAUCGCCCGCGCGGGCCAUUUGGGCCAAAAAGGGCCCAAUAGCCUCCAUCUUCUCCAAACACCCCACCCAUAAGGCCAAUUGAAUAAAGCAGAGCGCGAGGCAAAGAAAUAUAAACUACAAAAAAAAUGUUCGAAAACUGGAAAUAAAAAAGUUCAAAUACUUGUUCGCAGGAAAUAACUUUAAAUACAAAAAUAAAAAUAAUUUUAGCUCUGCACCAUAGAUGAUAAAAAUGGAAAAAAUAUGAUAUAAAAACAACAAAACUUUGAAAAGUGGAGAACUUAAUAGGCUAUAUGUUAAAUGUACAUAAUUUAAACCAGCGAAUUAAAUAUUACUUUCAAGUUCAACUACUAAAAUGCAAGAAGUUCAAAUAGAUAUUGUUUGUCAAUUAUGCUAAAUUUCUUAUUUAUAUAAAAUCUGACUAGAGCUCAACUAACGAUUUCGUCGUAAAUAAUCUACAUCCCAAAAAAACUCAGUUCAAACAUACAUACGACAUCAGUACUACAAAACCAGGAAGGGUCAGGCCACUCACCUUACAUCCACACACCAUUGUGACACCAAUUUUCAAAACCUUACGCUAUAUGAAAUUACAAUUCAGUACCCACAGCACUAAACCAUAAGUACACUAAAAAGAGAGUACAAAAACUAUAAAGGCCUAACUUAGGUUGGGACAGAUGAAAAUAAAAUAAGUCCUAGUUUUGAGGAAUAGCUCACAGUGCAGUAAAAAAAGUUUUGAUAUCAACUAGUGUAUAAGACUACAGUGCAAAAAUAAGACUUAUCCUCCACACUAAAAACAUAACAAAGUAUAUGUCACUUAAACAAUACAAAAUGCCAUCAUCACUGACCCUGAGACAUGCAAGUGGGAUAAACACCUGAUAAGUAUAGCUUAACAAGACGGAUCAGUGCGACAGUAAAAAACCCUUGGCUUGGACGGUUGGUUCUUCCAGGCCACCACCCGCGCCACCCACUGGGCGGUUGCCACGACGGACUACAAUGGUGACCCCACGACCAGUACCCCCAUGACCGGGAAGAACCGCCUCCCCCACGUCCCAAACCACGCCCUCCAAAAGCCCCAAAUCGACUCCAUCCCUGCCACAUCUCUAAAAACCACCAUUGCCGCUUCGAUCUCCACUACAAACAACCCACAAACAUCUCUGUUCCGAGCCCACAGUCGCCAGGAGGGCAAUGGCAGAGGAACCAUCUGCCAAGCGUCAUCGUGGCGAGACGUCCGACCAGAGCAGCAACCUCGACGAUGUUCAUGUCCCCGACAAGAAGCGCGAGUACACCCGAACCCACACAGGGGUUGAGCUCCACGGCAAGGAGACACUGGAGAUUGUCUGCACCAGUGAACCAGACAAGGCUGACGAGAUGAUGAGCAGGCUCAGGAUGAAGCGCGACGGCUUGUAUCCUAGCUUCAUCGGAGUUGAUGUGGAGUUUACCAAAAAAGAUGAACCUCCCCAGAUGGCAGCAGUCCUGCAGUUAUGCGUGGAGGAACUCUGCUUGGUGUACCACAUUGCAGCAGCCACAAAAUGGUGAUCCAUACUACUCUUCAUUCAUAUGUUUUAUUAGUACUACUCCCUAAAAAUUUCAUUAAACUUGUUUCCCAACUAGAUGAACUACUGUAGUUUGUGAACUGGAUGCACGAGUACAUGUUUCUCAAGUAGAUGCGCUAUAAUAUAAUUUGAAACUGAUGCACUGGAUUAGCAUCUGAAAUUGUUUCACCAGAUUAAUUUCUGAACUUGAUGUACUAGCAUAGUUUCUAAUCUUGAUGCACUAGUGUAGUUUAUAUAGUUGAUCUAUUAAAAGAUGUUUCUAAACUUGAUGUACAGAAGUAUUUUCUGAACCUGGUCUGAUGUUAUUUUCAGCAGCAAAAAGUAAAGUAAGAAUUUGGUCAAGCACUGGUAUAGGUCUUUUAUUCAACAAAAAGAAAACUAAAAUUGAAGUAAGCAGCACAUAGAUCAUUUACUCUGGUUAUAGGUUCUUGAAAUUGGUGAAGCAUUUGGUGAAGCACUGAAGAUACCAAAAAAGAAAAAUAACAUGAUGUACUUGAAUUUAAUUUCAAAACUUUGUGUACUAGUUUCUGAACUACAUUCAUCCAUGACUUAUACUAUAUAAGCAUCUACCUCAUGGAUUAUCACUUGUAAACCAAAAAACAGAAGGAUUAAAUCUUCAAAAAAGAACACUAAUCUUCAAUAUGUGUCUCCCCCUUGCAGGCCCAAGUGCCUCAAAGAAUUCCUGCAGGAGCAGAAAUUGUACACAUUUGCCGAUUUCAGCAUUGAAGGUGACAAAAGAGAAGUUGAAGAUGUCUGGUUUGGAGAUCAACCCCAAGAACUUCACCGACAUUCAGCGCAACUGGAGAGUUCUACGCAUCGGAAAAGAGUACGACUCCUUGGCUGAUGUUGCAGCCAGUGUCAUCCACCCAUUCUACAAAAGCAUGAAGAAGAAGAUAGAUAAGGAGGAAGACCACAAACUGUGGGGGAUCAGCCCGCUCCCAUACAAGCUCAUCGAGUACACAGGAAUAGAUGUGUACGCCACAUACAAGUCAUGGAAGAUAAUUGACAACAUCAUAACAGGUUGGGAAAUUUCAAAAGAGGAGGAGGCUGACCCAUACUACCACUGCCACUACGCGAUAUGAAGAGACAUCAAAGUCUGCCUUCGUGUUGCUUGCGCUUAUGCUUGUCCUUUAACUUGUUGUUUCAAAUUUGUAGUUUGCUUUUGUUAGGUUGAGCCAGCUUUCUUAUGCCAUGUGUGUCAGGGUUGAACAAGUUUGCUUAUGUAAUCAAGUACAUCGUUCGCUUGUGUCAUUGAACAAGUUUGAUAGCUUUCUAUUUUGUUUAUCCAUCAUUUGAAGUUGAAGUAAGUUGUGAAUGAAACUUUGUGGCUGCUAUGCAACACUAGUCAUGGAGCAACAAAUCACAGAUGGAUAUUUUCACAAAAUAGUGGCAGACUAAAAACAAUAACAAAUAGUAGCCUUGGACGCUCAGUACAACUUUGUCCUAUAUUGUAGUACUAUCACACUAAAAAUUAGUUUUUAGUUUCAGAAGAACACUAAAAAUACUAAGUUGCAGCCGAGGACAACAUUCAGUACUAAUAGCAUCAUGCUUAUAGUCAUUAGAAAAUUACUAAGUACUACAACAGGAAAAACCAAGAACCAUCAGUACGUAUUUCAUAGUCACUAGCAUACUAGGUGUGAAAGUACUGGUACACUUGAACACAUAGUACAUCCAUUCUACAAAAAUAAAAAGGAACGGGAAGUGUCAGUUCGCAUUCCCUAAAACAGUGACACACUAAGAAUAAUAGUGCUAGUACAAUUGAAAUCUCAGUACAACCUAGUUUAUACGACAAGUACUAUGAUGAUACCAAAUAAUGCCUUGAGAAUAACCACAGCCUAGAAAAAAGAAGGCCAAAACUAAAUCAAAAAGAUGUCAGUUCGACCAAGGAGAAAAAACACAAGAACCACAACAGAAGCACCAGUCCAAAUUGACCAAUGAGGUACUAGUUUCAAACAAUACAAAACAAAAUGAUCAUGGUGCUAGUACAAUUGAAAUCUCAGUACAACUUAGUUUAUAUGGUAAGUGCUAUGAUGAUACCAAAUAAUGCCUUGAAAAAGAAGGCCAAGACUCAAUCAAAAAGAUUACAGUUCAAUCAAGGACAAAAAAUCACAAGAACAAACAACAGAAGCAUCAGUCCACAUUAACCAGUGAGGUACUAGUUUCAAACAACCAAAAAAAUGAUGACCACCCAUGGACAGGCCAACCAUGCACAGGAGGAUACACUUGGACUCAAGCCCAUGACGGAACCAUUGGCGAAUCCAUAGUAAUCGAGACUAUGCGGGCCAGCCGUCAAGGGCCAACAGGUCAUGGAAUAGAGAGCGAGCGCCGUGUAUAAGCGCCCAGGUUAGUAUAUAGAGGAGUUCAACAGGCAAGGAACAACAAUGCUUAUAAACCGGUCGAGAGCCCCCUCGGCUAGCGAGGUGGGACUAAACUUAGAGCACUUGCAUAGCCAGCAGUCCACAGUCAUGUGCACGGGCUAUUUGGGCAAAAAAAGGGCCCAAUACGACUACUACUCCCUCCUCUCCAAACUCUCCUCGCCCCACCCCAUAAGGCCCGCUGAAUAAACCAGAGCGCGUGCCAAAGAAAAUAUAAACUAGUACAAAAAAGUUCGAAAACUUAAUAUAGAAACGCUCAAAUACAUGUUUGCACGCAAAAUAAUUCUAAAUUCAAAUACAAAAAUAAAAUAAAUUUACCUCUUCAGCACAGAUAAAAGGAUUAAAAAUAUGCUACAAAAACAAAUAUACUUUGAAGUUCAACUAUAUAUGCUACAAAAAUAAUUAUGAACUUAAUAGGGCUAUCUGUUAAAUGUAGCUAAUUUAACCAGUGCUUUAACUUUUACUAUGAAGUUGAACUACUAGAAUGCAAGAAGUUCAAACAAAUAUUUGGCUCUCAAUUUUGCUAAAUUUCUUAUACAAGGAAGCAUCACUCCACUCAUGCUAGAUCCACAAAUACUAUUGUGACACCAAAUUUUAAAAGCCUUAUGUUGUAUGAAAUUACAAUUUGGUACUCACAGAACUAUACCAUAAGUACAAGAAAAGAGGGUACAUAAACUAUAAAGGUCCAACUUAGGUUGGGACCGAUGAAAAUAAAAUAAAUGUCACCUUUUCAGCAACAACUCGUAAUGCACUUGGAAAAAAGUGUUUUAGUUCAACUAGUAUAUAAGACUUCAGUGCAAAAAUAAAACUUAACCAAAACAAAUUCCCGAUAAAACAUACACAAGUGAAACAGCUGUUCAACCACAUUCUCAUCAUGGAAAAAAGUUUGUAAAACGUUGUGCCACACUUAAAAACAUCACAAAGUAUACCGGUUAUUACAUAGUUGACAAGACACCCAAACACUACAUACAAAGCCUACAAUGCUUUCAAGACAUAAAUCACACAAGUAUCCCAUUCACUAUGCAAAUGAUAACCAUUUGUUCUAUGCACCAGGAGCCAAAGCUUGAACCUCCUCGGGAAGCUUGUAGCACCCCAGCUUAGAGCAACCAGUUUACCUUGCAUUGCCAGCCUAGAGAUCAAGUCUUCUGGCAACACACAACAACUUGGUACAAAAAACAACCACUUUAUUGAUGCUAGCAGAAACAUAGGUUCAAUAUUACAUCAAGUAGCGAGGCCAAGCAGCACACACGGUGCGGCUGAACAAUAUGUACAUUAUUUAAUGAACAUGAAGGGGCCUCGAUCACGAUAACUACGCGACAGCGGAACGACGACGAAGCGGAACUCCAUAGCACAGGGACACCGAUGUGGACACGAUCUAGACACGGGAAGCACUUCGAUCCGGUAAGACUUUCCUGAAAUCUGGCAUGACACGCCAGGUCAGUACAUUGAAUGUACUUGCAAGCUCACAACAAGCAUAAGCAUAAUGGCAAACAAUAUCAUGACAAUUAAUCAAUUUAAAUGGAAUGCAAUAACAUACUACUAAUGUAGUGAAUAAAACUUGUGCACCGAGUCCCUCGGACUCUCUUACCAAACGGGUUACCUCGUAACCAAGAUCAUCAUACGGUGAUCACUCCCGGAUCACAGACGAACCAACACUUUGGUUCCGACGAUAACGACCAUCUUCAUGGUCUCACAAAUCCCGUCACAUAAUCAGUGCCAAGCAUAUAAGUUUAGUGUGCAAGAUUACUUAAUCAUGUUGAUCCAUGGUGUGAUCUACUUACGAGCUGUGUCCGUAACUGAGGAUGCGGCUAUCGAUAGAUUUAAUAAACACUCUGCGGAGGUAGUAGACUGGACCCACACUACGGAACCCAUGGCCGUGUCUCGUCUCUCUUCCGCAUGAGGCGUGCGAGCCGCGAGGUACCCCUCGAUGCUGGAAAGCCUCGUGGACCGCGGAGGAACGGAUGGGAUAUUCGGGGCUGACCCAGUUGAAACCCAGUGUGCCAAACGGCACUCUUGGGCUUUUAGGGGCUUUAAGCCUGACGGGGAAAUCCACUAAAAAACCCUGUGAUCGCAGUGUGCCAAACAAGGCCUCAUGCCUUGUUAGGCAGGAAGGGUUUUCAAGCCCCAAUGGGGCUGGGGAUUAUUGGGGAUUUGGUGAACCCCUCCCCGCACCAAAUCCCCUCAAAUCCACUUCCGCCUCCCAAGCCCCUUCCCCAUCUAUCCAUAUAUGAGUGUUUGGCAUGUAGGGACAAAUUUGGUCCAUUUUAAACAUGAACUUCAACAACACACUGGUAAAAAUCCGAUCUUUACUAUUGAACAGGCUGAAGCAUCAGUGGCCAUAUCAUCAAGUACUACUAAAAGCAACAAAUCAUAAUCUUUAAGAUCAAUGGCAUCUAAACUAAGAACAUCAAAGGCCAUACAACACGAUCAGAUCAUAGUUUAAACAUCAUAUGUCAAACACAGGCAUGCAUCAGCAUGUACCAACGACACCUAGGGUGCAACACAAACAUCACUUAAAUUCGGUUUCUGCUUCCCAGCAUAGUUUCAGUUUCGCAACGACAGGCAUGCAUCACUUCAGUUCCAUCGCAUCCCUGAAAGUAGCAACUCAAUCAAAACAUUAGACAUACCAGUCAAACAAUUCACAGCUACAAGAGUACUUCAAAUACUUUCUGAAGAAAGAAAAGUAACAGGGGGGAAAUAUGGCAUGGAGCCCGUUUCUUAUACUUCAUGAUCUAAAACAGAUGGACUCACUCUCCUUUGUCAAAAAGUAUAACAAAAUUUAUAUGUGAUGUACUUGAGCCAGAUUUAACUUGAUGCAAACAGAGAAAAGCAAGCUCUAGCAUCAGGUCACAUAGAUAUCUCACAUCGAGUACUAGCACUGGAAACUCACAACUAAAAAUUUAUACGUACAUACCAUAUAUACACUACAGAAGGUUGACAGAAACUCUUUGCAUAUACACUGCGGAUCAUAUAUAUGUACAGAUCAUAUCUAUGUACAUCUCAAAACUAAAAAUUUAUAUGUACAGAUCAUAUAUACAACUACAAAUUUUGAUUUAGUAUGAUUGUUCAGUACCAAAGUGUAUCUAUUUCUCUAACAAAAACACUACAAUUACUUUCUUGCUGAUUGCCCAACAUUAUGGUUUAGUUUCUUCCUACUAUUUGCCCUUUAUUCAAAUUAGUAUGCAUACAAAGCAUUCAUUCACAAGAAAAACAUGUUUGUUCCAAGCUAAUCAGGAAUAGGAGCUUAUGUAUAUUCUCAGUUCGGAGAUGAGAAAUUGAUUUCUAGCUAAUCAGGAAUAUGAGCUUAAGAACAAGACCAAGCAAGCAAGAACAUUAUGAACCAGAUCAAAAUACCUCUUCUAGGUAGGCAACUCAUCCAUUUCGCUCCGAAGCCACAUGACCGCACUCUCUUCUUGAAGUUUGAUGAACAUGUAAGAUAACAAAGAGCUCGCUAUUACAUUAUAACAAAGAGCAUCAUAAAUGUUUGUUCUAAGCUAAUCAGGAAUAAGAGCUUAAUUAUAUUCUCAGUUCAGACAUGUGCAUGCAUAUGCUCAGUUAGCAACCACAUAAAUAUACUACAACUAGUCAUCUCAGAUGAGAAAUUGAUUUCUAGCUCUUGUCUGCAUGUAUUUUACUCAUCUUAGCAAAUCACACCAGUAACAGUUAACUUCGACCAGUUUUGAAUUUCAUCAACAUCUAACACAGGACAAUGUAGAUAUAUUUUUAGCACAUAGUGCCAAAAUUAAUCAGAUUGAUGUUAUACCAAUGAAACUUAUGUGCAGCAAAAUGAUUCUCUACUCACAUUUCUGCACUACAUCCAAUUGUCAAUAUCUAAUACAAAAUGGUUGGCUGUAUUUUGUUACUUUGUUAUCAGAUAUGUACUAUAUGCUAAUAAUAAUGGGAUUUUUUUUACUAUGGAGUAUAAAAUCAGUACAGAAAGGUAGAGAUCCUACUUGAGCAUCUACAUGUAUAAUUUUAAGGCAUAGAUAAAUGACAUCAAAAAAGGGUUGGAGUUGUCUUGAAUAGUAGUCCAGAUCUUGCAGCAACUAACUUCAAAUAGGGGGAGGUGGAAUGUUAUGGGGAAGCAGGCAGAGGAACAAC
rnacentral:lncRNA from 1 species